rnacentral:rRNA from 1 species
AGAGUUUGAUCCUGGCUCAGGAUGAACGCUGGCGGCGUGCUUAACACAUGCAAGUCGAACGAACCUUCGGGUUAGUGGCGGACGGGUGAGUAACGCGUGAGAAUCUGCUCUCAGGAGGGGGACAACAGCUGGAAACGGCUGCUAAUACCCCAUAUGCCGAGAGGUGAAAUGAAUUUCGCCUGAGGAUGAGCUCGCGUCUGAUUAGCUAGUUGGUGAGGUAAGAGCUCACCAAGGCAUCGAUCAGUAGCUGGUCUGAGAGGAUGAUCAGCCACACUGGGACUGAGACACGGCCCAGACUCCUACGGGAGGCAGCAGUGGGGAAUUUUCCGCAAUGGGCGAAAGCCUGACGGAGCAACGCCGCGUGAGGGAUGAAGGCCUCUGGGCUGUAAACCUCUUUUCUCAAGGAAGAAGAUCUGACGGUACUUGAGGAAUAAGCCACGGCUAAUUCCGUGCCAGCAGCCGCGGUAAUACGGGAGUGGCAAGCGUUAUCCGGAAUUAUUGGGCGUAAAGCGUCCGCAGGCGGCCCAUCAAGUCUGCUGUUAAAAAGUGGAGCUUAACUCCAUCAUGGCAGUGGAAACUGUUGGGCUAGAGUGUGGUAGGGGCAGAGGGAAUUCCCGGUGUAGCGGUGAAAUGCGUAGAUAUCGGGAAGAACACCAGUGGCGAAGGCGCUCUGCUGGGCCAUAACUGACGCUCAUGGACGAAAGCCAGGGGAGCGAAAGGGAUUAGAUACCCCUGUAGUCCUGGCCGUAAACGAUGAACACUAGGUGUCGGGGGAAUCGACCCCUCCGGUGUCGUAGCCAACGCGUUAAGUGUUCCGCCUGGGGAGUACGCACGCAAGUGUGAAACUCAAAGGAAUUGACGGGGGCCCGCACAAGCGGUGGAGUAUGUGGUUUAAUUCGAUGCAACGCGAAGAACCUUACCAGGGUUUGACAUCCUGCGAAUUUCUGGGAAACCGGAAAGUGCCUUCGGGAACGCAGUGACAGGUGGUGCAUGGCUGUCGUCAGCUCGUGUCGUGAGAUGUUGGGUUAAGUCCCGCAACGAGCGCAACCCACGUCUUUAGUUGCCAGCAUUUAGUUGGGCACUCUAGAGAGACCGCCGGUGAUAAACCGGAGGAAGGUGUGGAUGACGUCAAGUCAUCAUGCCCCUUACAUCCUGGGCUACACACGUACUACAAUGCUACGGACAAAGGGCAGCAAACUCGCGAGAGCUAGCAAAUCCCAUAAACCGUGGCUCAGUUCAGAUCGUAGGCUGCAACUCGCCUACGUGAAGGAGGAAUCGCUAGUAAUCGCAGGUCAGCAUACUGCGGUGAAUACGUUCCCGGGCCUUGUACACACCGCCCGUCACACCAUGGAAGUUGGCCACGCCCGAAGCCGUUACUCCAACCCUUGUGGAGGAGGACGUCGAGGGUGGGGCUGAUGACUGGGGUGAAGUCGUAACAAGGUAACC